CCUACGGGGGACAGCAGUGGGGAAUAUUGCACAAUGGGGGAAACCCUGAUGCAGCGACGCCGCGUGAGUGAAGAAGUAUCUCGGUACGUAAAGCUCUAUCAGCAGGGAAGAAAAUGACGGUACCUGACUAUUAACCCCCGGAUAACUACGUCCCAGAAGCCGCGGUCAUACGGAGGGGGCAAGCGUUAGCCGGAUUUACUGGGUGUAAAGGGAGCGGAGACGGCUGCACAAGUCUGGUGUGAAGUCCCCGGGCUUAACCCCGGAACUGCUUUGGAAACUGGGAGGCUGGAGUGCAGGAGGGGUAAGUGGAAUUCCAAGUGUAGCGGUGAAAUGCGUAGAGAUUAGGAGGAAUACCGGUGGCGAAGGCGGCUUACUGGAC
rnacentral:rRNA from 1 species